UACGAAGGGGGCUAGCGUUGCUCGGAAUCACUGGGCGUAAAGGGUGCGUAGGCGGGUCUUAAGUCAGGGGUGAAAUCCUGGAGCUCAACUCCAGAACUGCCUUUGAUACUGAGAGCUUGAGUCCGGGAGAGGUGAGUGGAACUGCGAGUGUAGAGGUGAAAUUCGUAGAUAUUCGCAAGAACACCAGUGGCGAAGGCGGCUCACUGGCCCGGUACUGACGCUGAGGUGCGAAAGCGUGGGGAGCAAACAGG
rnacentral:rRNA from 1 species